rnacentral:rRNA from 1 species
UACGGAGGGUGCAAGCGUUAUCCGGAUUUACUGGGUUUAAAGGGUGCGUAGGCGGGCAUGUAAGUCAGUGGUGAAAUCUCCGGGCUUAACCCGGAACUGCCGUUGAUACUAUGUGUCUUGAAUAUCGUUGAGGUUUGCGGAAUAUGUCAUGUAGCGGUGAAAUGCUUAGAUAUGACAUAGAACACCAAUUGCGAAGGCAGCAGGCUAAACGAACAUUGACGCUGAGGCACGAAAAGCGUGGGGGAUCAAAACAGG